AUGUUCUCUCUCCCUCUCCCCCUGCCCCUCCCCACAUUCCCUCUCUCAAAAUGAAUAAAUAAAAUCUUUUCAAAGGGGGAAGGGAGAAGAACAUUAUCACAGCCAAGAGGAGAACUAAAUGUAUGUACUCUGGUACCCUAGAUUGGAUCCUGGAUGGGACACUGGGCUAAAACUAAAGAAAUCUGAAUAAGGCAUGCACUUGGCACUACUCUUCAAGUCUUAACACUAUUCACUCAUCAUCGCAACAAGCUGUACCAGAUUAACGCCCCUGCAGAUAAGAAAGUGCAAUGCAGAGAGGUUGAAGUCCUAAUACCCAAUGUGACUGCAUUUUUGAGAAAAGGCCUGUAAAGGAAAUAAUUAAGGAAAACCAUGUGAGGAUACAGCAAGAAGGUAACCAUUGACAAGCCAAGAGAUGGGCCUCACCAGAAACAAACCCUGCAGAUACACCUUGAUCUUGAACAUCUAGCCUCCAACCCUAGGGGGAAACUGAGGAUACUGAGAAAUUCAGUAAGUUGACCAAGAACCUACAGCUCAUACGUGAGAAAGUGAGAGCUUGAACCAGGAAUUCUGGCUCCAGAACCCUUUACAGACAUGUUUCCCGCCCUUACAGUUUCUUCCUAAUAAGAGAUCCUCAGUUUGGCUCUCUCCUCAGGGACACGGUGACAACAGAAGGCUUCCAGCAGCUCCAGACUUACAACGGAAUCAUGUGUGUCUCUCCAUGAGCUCCCAUCAUGUCCCAGGAUUCACUCUCAUUAGCCAAACCUGGCUCACCUGGUCACCUCUGAACUGUGGCCUGAAGGAAGGCUCUGAUCUGGCUGGUCUCAGGUUAUUUGGAGCACCUCUGACAUCGGGGAGGGGGAGCCACAGAACUGGUGACAGAGAAUGUAGACAAGAAGCCGGGGAGAUUUAAAAAGCAGCAGAUAUCUCAGACUGAAUAAAACAUAGGAAGAACAUGGGAAGAAACAGGUGCGUGCCCACGUCUGCAGGAAGGGUUCACAGCAGAGGGUAAACCUGAGCGGACUCUUAGAAAGAAAGGGACAGGAAUCUCCUGGUCAGGCAGGAGAAGGCGUGAGAAUGGGAGGGAGGGGAUCCCAGUGGUAAGAAUGGCCUGUGUGAUCACAAAAGAGAAUGACCUAUGUGCCCAUCUUUUUGUACCCAGCAA